GGAAGAGUAGCUCAACGGCAGAGCAGAGGACUCAUAAUCCUUUGGUUCAGGGUUCGAAUCCCUGCUCUUCCA
rnacentral:tRNA from 1 species